UCUUGCAGCCGAGCCCGAUACCGAGUCCCGUUCUGGGGAGGAAGCCGAACGCGAGUCAGUCUCUGCUCGUGUGGUGCAAAGAAGUUACCAAAAACUACAGGGGAGUGAAAAUCACCAACUUUACUACGUCGUGGAGAAACGGUUUGUCCUUCUGCGCAAUACUGCAUCACUUCCGACCAGAUCUCAUUGACUACAAGUCCCUGAAUCCUCAAGAUAUUAAAGAGAACAACAAAAAGGUAAGAACUGCCGGG